ensembl:lncRNA
CCAUAGUCAAUGUGACUCGAUACAAUGGUAGGCUGUUUAGCUGUAAUGCUUUCAACGCGUCAGUAAUGGAACCACUGAGCCUCUACAUCUCAGUAUCAGCUACAGUUCAGACGGUGUGUCCUUCACAGUCAACAUGCUGAACACCACUUCCUCUUUCCUGAUCGGGUCUACUCUGACCAUGUCCUGCUCUGCCCAGUCCAACCCUCAGGCUGAGAUUCAAUGGACUUUCAAUGGGAAGCAUCUGAAUUGGACGAGUCUAGAUCUGAAGCUAUAUAGUGCUGUGGAGAGCCAGAGUGGCCUAUGCUCCUGCCUGGCCUUCAACAACAGGACCAUGAGCUACAGCAACAUCACUAGACAGAUCACCAUCAGCAGUGGGUCAGUGUCAGAACAGCUGGGGGUCAGUGUCUGGCUCCUUCUCCUCUCCUCAUUGGCUGGGGUCCUCUUCUGAACGCCAAUGGGAUAGCAAGUCUCACUGACUGAAAAAUAACACACAGACCAAAAAAUGCUUUCAGUUAAGUGAACCCAUAUGACACGUUCUGACCUUUUAUUUCCUUUGUUUUGUCGUUAUUUAGUAUGGUCAGGGCAUGAGUUGGGGUGGGCAGUCUAUGUUUGUUUUUCUAUGAUUUGGGGAUUUCUAUGUUUCGGCCUAGUAUGGUUCUCAAUCAGAGGCAGGUGUCAUUAGUUGUCUCUGAUUGAGAAUCAUACUUAGGUAGCCUGGGUUUCACUGUUUGUUUGUGGGUGAUUGUCUAUGUUAGUUGCUUGUGUCAGCACUGUUCUCAUUAUAGCUUCACAGUCGUUAUUCGUUUAUUGUUUUGUAUAGUUUGUGUUCAGUGCUUUCUUUUAUUUAAAAAAUCAUCAUGAACACAUAAUGAACACACCACGCUGCAUUUUGGUCCGUUCCUUACGACAAUCGUGACACCAUACAAUAUAUUUAUUCAAACAUUCAUUUCAUUUACGUAGUGCCAUGGGCCAGGGCAAUGUGAAUAAAUUAUGCGAUUGACAAAAUUGUUUUAUAAUAUGGUGAAAUAAUGUCAUAGAUAUUGCUAUAACCGAACAUGGUCACUCUUGUGCAAUGAUCUCUUAUUGAUGUCACUUAUUGAUGUCACUUGUUAUAUCCACAUCAAUCAGUUUAGAUGAAGGGGAGGAGACAAAUUAAAGAAUGAUUUUUAAUCCUUGAGAAAAUUGAGACAUGGAUUGUGUAUGUGUGCCAUUCAGAGGGUGAAUGUGUAAGACAAAAUGUCUAAGUGCCUUUGAAUGGGGUAUGGUAGUAGGUCCCAGUCCAACAGUUUGAGUGUCAACAACUGCAAUGAUUCUGGGUUUUUCAUGCUCAACAGUUUCCAAUGUGAAUCAAGAAUGGUCCACCAGCCAAAGGAAUCCAGCUAACUUGACACAACUGUGGGAAGCAUUGGAGUCAACAUGGGCCAGCAUCCCUGUGGAACGCUUUUGACACCUUGUGGAGCAUCCCUGUGGAACGCUUUUGACGCCCCAAUGAAUAAGGCAGUUCUGAGGGCAAAACAGGGUGCAAUUCAAUAUUAGGAAGGUGUUCCUAGUGUUUUGCAAACUCAGUGUAUUUAGAAAGAGAAAAUACAUUGCACCAUUUUCAUAAGGUAAAAUAUCUAUUCAAAUAUUAACAGAGAAGAAUGAAAAAGCAGUAGAAAUAAUAGAACAUGUCAAACUUGUCCGCAAAUCAUGAAUGUUCUGUGUACCCUUAUGGAACAUUUGGUUUAUUCAAUAACAACCACAAAAAUCUGCUUUUAUAUGGGCAAUUAAAGACAUUUACUGUAUGUUCAAGUCAUAUUACAACAAGAAUGUUUGACAUAUUUUUGUUAUUCCACCAGGUCUUAAGAUAAUUACAGUACUGAGGGGUGUUGAAAUACAUGUUAUAUGAUUCCUCCCAGUGAUACUAAUCUGGAUAAAUAGAACUUGAAUGAAGAAAAAAUACAAUAAAAAACUGUUUUCAGAUCAAUUAUUCCUUUGCAAUUACAGCAGAAAUGUUCCUUCUCAGGAUGACAGGUCCAAAGAUCUGCGGAGAAUACUUGUAAGAGAUUGGGAAAGAAUGGUCAUUAGCCAGUUUCCCUAAGUUUUCACAUGACUGGGCAGUGGCACAGCCAUGGGUGGGCCUGGGAGGGCAUAGGCCAAUUAGAAUGAGUUUUCCCCCACAAAAGGGCUUUUUGACAGAAAUAAAUCCUCCUCAGCACCCCACCCCUCCUCCCCUGAGUUGAUCCCGCAGGUGAAGAAGCCAGACUUGUAGGUCCUGGGCUGGCUUGGUUACACCUGGUCUGUGGUUGUGAGGCCGGUCGGACUUACUGAACAUUUUAGAAUGGCCUUUUAUUACACAAGGAGCACCUGUGUAAUGAUCAUGCUGUUUAAUCAUAUUCUUGAUAUGCCACACCUUUCAGGUGGAUGGAUUAUCUUGAAAAAGGCUAAAAUGCUCACUAACAGGGAUGUAAUCAAAUUUGUGCACAACAUUUUACAGAAAUACAUUUCUGUGACCAACACUUUACAUGUUGCGUUUAUAUUUAUGUUCAGUGUAGAAAGGAAAGGUAUGUGUUUCUAACACACCCUUGUUAGUCUACCUGCGCCAGGUGUAUUUGAGUGGACAUUUGUAUAGAAGCCUUCCUGUUUGUGUCAAUCAGGGGAUCCUUUUACUGAGAGGACGGGAGCAGUGAUGGUGUUUAAAGAAAAGUGAAUAUAAGAAAUAGGAAUCCUUGUUAAUGUAGUGCCUUUAGGCAUUGGCACCCCUCUUCCACCUAGACCUGCGCUACUUCUCCCUGGGCACUCCCUCCAUGAGUGUUCCAACACAUUGUCUGUUUGAGUAUGUAAAUAAAACAAACAAACCUAGUGGUAUUUGGUUGUGAGAAAUCUGACAUUGCUCUGUCGAAGUUUGUCUUGUAGGACAGCUGAAUGAAGCUCCUGGAACAGAAGAUGUAUGGAAUUGAUUACGUGGUAUGGAGGUUGUACCUUUCUUGUG